UUGUGUUUCAUCUACCAAGUUAUUCUUCAUUCAGCUGGGCAAAGUUCGAAGCUUCCAUGACCGUGUAACUGGAGCUUUCUAGGCAUUCUUUAUCUCUGAUUAUAAUCAGAGGCAAUAGAUCUUUUUCUAGUCUUGGAAGACGGAUAUUCGAUGUUUAUAUUCAGGAGAAGUUAGUGUUGAACGAUUUCGACAUUGAAAAGGAUGCCCAAGGGGUUGAUAAGCCAGUCAUCUGGGAAUUUAAAGCAGUUGAGGUUAAGAAGAAAACUUUAGAGAUCCGAUUUCAUUGGUCUGGGAAAGGGACAACAGCUUCCCCAAACAGAGGAGUAUAUGGUCCCCUUAUUUCAGCUCUCUCUAUAGAAUCAGAUCGUAAAAUACUAGAAACAGAAUUGUGGAAGAAGAUGGGAGCUUUUGAUAUGUGGAUUUGGAAUUCCUUUGUUUGUUUCUGCUCAUUAUCUCCUCUAAUUUC
rnacentral:lncRNA from 1 species